AUACGGAGGAUCCGAGCGUUAUCCGGAUUUAUUGGGUUUAAGGGGUGCGCAGGCGGCCAUUUAAGUCAGCGGUUAAAUCGUGGGGCUCAACCCCAUUCUGCCGUUGAUACUGGGUGGCUUGAUUGCGGUCGAGGUUGGCGGAAUUCGUUGUGUAGCGGUGAAAUGCAUAGAUAUGACGAAGAACACCGAUUGCGUAGGCAGCUGACCAGACCGCAAAUGACGCUCAUGCACGAAAGUGCGGGGAUCGAACAGGAUUAGAUACCCUGGUAGUCCGCACAGUAAACGAUGAAUACUCGCUGUUUGCGAUACACUGUAAGCGGCCAAGCGAAAGCGUUAAGUAUUCCACCUGGGGAGUACGCCGGCAACGGUGAAACUCAAAGGAAUUGACGGGG
rnacentral:rRNA from 1 species